CCAGUAAGGGGCGGGGCCGGCAUCGUUUGGGCAAAGUCCCCGGAUGUGUUGCUCUCAUGAUUGAACAGGUGACCACAGUGCGUGUCGUCGGAGAUGAGAGCGGCAGAUUCCAAGUUCUCUGAACUGUGGAACAAAGUUUAUGUUUAAUUUAACUUUGUUAUGAUCCUGCUGUCCUUGUAUUGAUAUCCAACAGAGUUUGGGAACGAUUGAGGAGGAAACAGGAAGUGUUUGUCCACCACUUCAUAUACCAGAAUGCUGAACAAAGGCCGGCUGAGGUUACUGAGGUGGGAGACGGUUUUUCACUGAGCUGCUGCCCUGUGUUAAAGAAUUAUGUUAUGUGUUGGAAGUAGGAGCCUGGCUCAUGAAGACCUACAGGUAGGUUAUCCAGUUAGUGUUGUUACUUAGGCCUGUGUG